AUGGAUGGUACAAUACCCGAGGUCGUUCACUACUACACGUAUGAAAUAUUCAGUGUUGUGCAUGACCAAAUCAUUACCGAGUUUAAUAAACGCUUUGCUGAAAGAUCUAAUCAAUUUUUGAGAUGCAUUGCUUUUCUUGAUCCAAGGAACUCAUUUGCUAAUUUUGAUGAAGACGAGCAUGUUGAACUUGCCGAGAUGUAUGCUGGUGACUUCUCCAUAAACGAGAUUUCUUGUGUCCAUAAGAACCAACUUGAAACAUUCAUGUGCUAA
rnacentral:rRNA from 1 species